CCGGAUGAGAGAAAGAAAGAAAGAGGUGUUGACUGUAAAGGUGAGAGGGAAAGAGAAAGAAGGCACGAAAGAAAGGGACUUGUUUUAUUUUUUGCUCCCUCGUUGACCCCGGCUUGUCAGAGGCUGGCCAGAAAAGGCAGCACACCCCUCCCUGGCAAAUACAGGAGCGCCUCAUGUGCCUGCAGCUCCAUCCUGGAUUCAUCUCAGCAUUUACACAGGACGAGAUUUUUGGAGCAAUGACGGAAGUGUGGGCAGGUUUCGAGCCCAGGGGCUGUCAGCGUUUGAGUUUGGGGACUGGACGAGUGCACUUGUUCGCUGAAAUGUCACUGGUCAAUUUGUCCAAGAUCAGGGUGGAAAUCCGAUCCUAACGCGGCUCCACUCACCAGGGCCAUGACACACUACUAAUUACCUGUUAUACCGAUCGGAGAGUGGGACGGCGUGAAAGAGGAAGACUGCUUUUAAGACGGGAGGAUAUCACGUCCUCCUCCCUCAUUCAGCGGGGUUGAAUAUUUUUAGCAUGGUUAUGAAUUGUUUUUUAUUCAGCCAGGGGAUAACUCUGUGGCAUCAGUGUCACCUGGAAUACAACACCCCUUUUUACAGAUGGGUGAUUUUCAUGUAAGUGAGGGGAUUUCUUUCACUGUAUCUGCUGGAACCGACGUUAACCUGUUGCCAGAAUUCACUUGUCGCUCCGGGGGAAGGUUUACAUCGCUACAUAGCGAGAGAGUAGAACAGCUGGGUGUGAGUUCAAGUCUGCAGUGUAAUUGCGGAAUAUGAGCGUAUUCACUGCAUGCGUUCAUUUAACCACACGGAAAACAUUUAAGCAGCUACACAUAAAAAAAAAUAUAUACGCAGCAGACGAUACAUUCAACCUGCUGUGGACCUUUUGUCACAUCCUCCGCCAUGAUUUAGUUGUUUCCUUUCAUAUGUUGACUUCACUCACUGUUACAGAAUCAUGGGUAAUUUUCUUUCAACUAACAAAUAGUUCCUUGAAUAGCAGGAAUGUAAUAUUCUCACAUUUUGAGGAAGAAUACCAGUGUCAUUUAGUGCUAUAGCCCAAUUUUCAUUAUUGUCAUUUUUAUAGUUACUAUAAUUUAAAAAUCUACUCAUUUUUCAAGGUUUUAAAAUAAGACAAUGUUCACCCUGAGAUUUUACCUGCUGAUCUGGUAAACAAAUAUAUCCUAAAUAAGAAAACAUGGGUUUGACAGCAAAGUUUGUAUGGUGGCAUGUUGAGUAAUUAUUUCCUGGUGGAGACUUCCAUUUCUCCCUGUGGGUGGGUGUCAGGUGUAAAGGAGGGGGGAAGACCAUACAAAACAAAACAAAACAAAACAAACAAACAAAUACACAUGCAUUAUCCUUUGAGCCUCAUUAAUAUUUUGAGAGGAAAAAAGUGUAAUAAUCCUCAAAUGUGUAAUCCAGAAUUCCCUGCAAAUCAGUAGGUAGUGGAGAACUAGAGGUGAUAUGUGAAAAAUUAGAGAUGAACAAUGAAAGGGGACAGUUUGAAUUCAAAUGAAGGACAUACAUACAGAUUUGAAAUGAUUUUGGGAAAAUAUUGCUGUGUUUCUAUUGUUAAAUCUAUGAGCACCUGUUUUUCUGUUAACAUUAUGACAGAUCUGUUUUUUUUUCCUCUAAUAAAGAAUUCUUUAUGGUCGCGUUCUCUUUUCAUUGAACUUCCAGUCUGUA